rnacentral:rRNA from 1 species
ACGGGAGGCAGCAGUGGGGAAUAUUGCACAAUGGGCGAAAGCCUGAUGCAGCGACGCCGCGUGAGUGAAGAAGUAUUUCGGUAUGUAAAGCUCUAUCAGCAGGGAAGAAAAUGACAGUACCUGACUAAGAAGCCCCGGCUAACUACGUGCCAGCAGCCGCGGUAAUACGUAGGGAGCAAGCGUUAUCCGGAUUUAUUGGGUGUAAAGGGUGCGUAGACGGGAAGACAAGUUAGUUGUGAAAUCCCUCGGCUUAACUGAGGAACUGCAACUAAAACUAUCUUUCUUGAGUGCGGGAGAGGAAAGUGGAAUUCCUAGUGUAGCGGUGAAAUGCGUAGAUAUUAGGAGGAACACCAGUGGCGAAGGCGACUUUCUGGACCGUAACUGACGUUGAGGCACGAAAGUGUGGGGAGCAAACAGGAUUAGAUACCCUGGUA